GAGUUUGAUCCUGGCUCAGGAUGAACGCUGGCGGCGUGCUUAACACAUGCAAGUCGAACGAAGCACUCUUUUAGAUUUCCUUCGGGGAAGAAGAAAUUGUGACUGAGUGGCGGACGGGUGAGUAACGCGUGGGCAACCUGCCCCAUACAGGGGGAUAACAGCCGGAAACGGCUGCUAAAACCGCAUAAGCGCACAAGGGCCGCAUGGCCUGGUGUGAAAAACUCCGGUGGUAUGGGAUGGGCCCGCGUCUGAUUAGCUAGUUGGCGGGGGAGAGGCCCACCAAGGCGACGAUCAGUAGCCGACCUGAGAGGGUGGCCGGCCACAUUGGGACUGAGACACGGCCCAAACUCCUACGGGAGGCAGCAGUGGGGAAUAUUGCACAAUGGGGGAAACCCUGAUGCAGCGACGCCGCGUGAGCGAAGAAGUAUUUCGGUAUGUAAAGCUCUAUCAGCAGGGAAGAAAAAUGACGGUACCUGAGUAAGAAGCACCGGCUAAAUACGUGCCAGCAGCCGCGGUAAUACGUAUGGUGCAAGCGUUAUCCGGAUCUACUGGGUGUAAAGGGAGCGCAGGCGGUGCGGCAAGUCUGAUGUGAAAGCCCGGGGCUCAACCCCGGGACUGCAUUGGAAACUACCGAACUAGAGUGUCGGAGAGGUAAGUGGAAUUCCUAG
rnacentral:rRNA from 1 species